AGCGCACCCCUAUCCUUAUUUGCCAGCGCAUAAUGGCGGGAACUAUAAGGAGACUGCCGGUCAUAAACCGGAGGAAGGCGGGGACGACGUCAAGUCAUCAUGGCCCUUAUGGGUAGGGCUACACACGUGAUACAAUGGGCGGUACAGAGGGUCGCCAAAGCGCGAGCUGGAGCCAAACCCUUAAAACCAUUCUUAGUCCGGAUUGGAGUCUGCAACUCGACUCCAUGAAGUCGGAAUCGCUAGUAAUCGCGAAUCAGAAUGUCGCGGUGAAUACGUUCUCGGGCCUUGUACACACCGCCCGUCACGUCAUGGAAGUGGGUUGCACCAGAAGUGGCUUGUUUAACCUUCGGGAAAACGGUCACCACGGUGUGAUUCGCAACUGGGACGAAGUCGUAACAAGGUAGCCCUAGGGGAACCUGGGGCUGGAUCA
rnacentral:rRNA from 1 species